UGGGGAAUAUUGCACAAUGGAGGGAACUCUGAUGCAGCGACGCCGCGUGAACGAAGAAGGCUUUCGAGUCGUAAAGUUCUUUUAUAUGGGAAGAUAAUGACGGUACCAUAAGAAGAAGCCCCGGCUAACUACGUGCCAGCAGCCGCGGUAAUACGUAGGGGGCUAGCGUUGUCCGGAAUCACUGGGCGUAAAGGGUUCGCAGGCGGAAAUGCAAGUCAGGUGUAAAAGGCAGUAGCUUAACUACUGUAAGCAUUUGAAACUGCAUAUCUUGAGAAGAGUAGAGGUAAGUGGAAUUUUUAGUGUAGCGGUGAAAUGCGUAGAUAUUAAAAAGAAUACCGGUGGCGAAGGCGACUUACUGGGCUCAUUCUGACGCUGAGGAACGAAAGCGUGGGUAGCAAGCAGG
rnacentral:rRNA from 1 species